rnacentral:rRNA from 1 species
CUCCAGACUCCUACGGGAGGCAGCAGUGAGGAAUAUUGGUCAAUGGGCGAGAGCCUGAACCAGCCAAGUCGCGUGAGGGAAGACGGUCCUAUGGAUUGUAAACCUCUUUUGUCGGGGAGCAAAAAGGCCUCGUGAGGCCACAAGUGAGAGUACCCGAAGAAAAAGCAUCGGCUAACUACGUGCCAGCAGCCGCGGUAAUACGUAGGUGGCGAGCGUUGUCCGGAUUUACUGGGCGUAAAGGGAGCGUAGGCGGAUUUUUAAGUGAGAUGUGAAAUACUCGGGCUCAACUUGAGUGCUGCAUUUCAAACUGGAAGUCUAGAGUGCAGGAGAGGAGAAUGGAAUUCCUAGUGUAGCGGUGAAAUGCGUAGAGAUUAGGAAGAACACCAGUGGCGAAGGCGGCUUGCUGGACGAUGACUGACGUUGAGGCUCGAAAGCGUGGGGAGCAAACAGGAUUAGAUACCCCAGUA